AGCAGCCGCCGCGGUAAUACGAAGGGUGCAAGCGUUAAUCGGAAUUACUGGGCGUAAAGCGCACGCAGGCGGUUUGUUAAGUCUGCUGUGAAAUCCCCGGGCUCAACCUGGGAAUGGCAGUGGAUACUGGCUCGCUAGAGUGUGUCAGAGGAUGGUGGAAUUCCCGGUGUAGCGGUGAAAUGCGUAGAGAUCGGGAGGAACAUCAGUGGCGAAGGCGGCCAUCUGGGACAACACUGACGCUGAGGCACGAAAGCGUGGGGAGCAAACAGGAUUAGAUACCCGCGUAGUCCCUGUCUCUUAUAC
rnacentral:rRNA from 1 species